rnacentral:lncRNA from 1 species
ACACAUUUCACAUAGCAGGAAAAAGCAUGAAAACAAAUCUUACACAACACAGGAACUAACCUAACUUUCCACUUUUCCAGGAAAUCAUCACUCCUCUAACUGAAGAUAUAUUAUAUUUGAAAUGUACAUGUCACAGAACGAAAAAAGAACAAAUAUAGCAUAAUUUUACUCGCCUAGCCAAAAGCCAGGCAGGAGUCCAGCAGUGACUUUGCCAGUGAAAUCUUCUGUACCUGGGUGAGCUGGAAACCUCCCCUACAUAAACUGUUGUCACCAGGCAGCAGCCUACAGGGGGCAGCUGAAGGACAUUGACUACUCUAUCUCACAACACCUUCAAAUGGUCAAAUCUUUUUAA